rnacentral:rRNA from 1 species
UACGAAGGGGGCUAGCGUUGCUCGGAAUCACUGGGCGUAGCAGCGCACGUAGGCGGAUUGCUAAGUCAGGGGUGAAAUCCUGGAGCUCAACUCCAGAACUGCCUUUGAUACUGGCGAUCUCGAGUCCGGGAGAGGUGAGUGGAACUGCGAGUGUAGAGGUGAAAUUCGUAGAUAUUCGCAAGAACACCAGUGGCGAAGGCGGCUCACUGGCCCGGUACUGACGCUGAGGUGCGAAAGCGUGGGGAGCAAACAGG